UACGUAGGGUGCGAGCGUUAAUCGGAAUUACUGGGCGUAAAGCGUGCGCAGGCGGUUUUGUAAGCCAGAUGUGAAAUCCCCGGGCUUAACCUGGGAAUGGCAUUUGGGACUGCAAGGCUUGAGUGCGGCAGAGGAGACUGGAAUUCCUGGUGUAGCAGUGAAAUGCGUAGAUAUCAGGAGGAAUACCGAUGGCGGAGGCAGGUCUCUGGGCUGACACUGACGCUCAUGCACGAAAGCGUGGGGAGCAAACAGG
rnacentral:rRNA from 1 species